GGUCCACAGCCACCGAGUGCAGCCCGGGCCCGGCCUAUUUCCUCAGACACAGCCCCAGAGCCGGGCGGCCACCCCUACCCCGGGAGCCCUUCGCCAAGCGCGCAGCUCCAGACCAGAAGUAGCCGCUCCGACCCAGAGCUCCGGGUGGGGCAGAAAUAUCUUUUCUUGCUGCUCUCCUAGGAUCUACCAACCAGAGAUUCUAAUGUGAUAUGUUUGGAAUGGAGUUAUCGACCUGCAUUUUUAAUAGGCAUCCUCCAGGUUUCUACCGUCUGUGGAACAUGGAAUCAAACCAGAAUAUGUUGGCACAACAGGCCAGUAAAACCGGUUCUUCCGUAGAUCCAGAACCUGUCCAACCAGUCUGUAUCAAAGGCUAGCCCAACAUGCUGCAGCGGCUCAGCUCUGCUAAGCUUGUACUGGAAUGACGGGGAAAAUGGAAGGAGAAAAAAAAACAAUGCUAAAAAGCCUGGAGAUGACCACAUAUGAAAGGACCAUGUGUGCAAAGGACUGCUGGAAAAUGAAUCAGUUGCUUGCCAGUAUGAUAUCUUAACAAGGAGAAAAAGGAACAGGAUUGCAAUUGGCACUCUGAAAUUGCAUAUAAUCUGGAGCCUGUAAUAUGUCCAUCAAAAACAAAUUCACAAGAAAGAGAAGCUUGGAAAAGAAGACCAGGAAAUACAAUGUUGGAAGUGGGAAUGCAGAUGGGAAAAGGUAAUCGUAAGCCAGCAGUGAGGAAGCAAAAGUUCAUCUGAUUUACACAGAAGAAUUUAUCUAAGAUAUCGAACCUGGGAAAACAGAGGGCCAGCUGUCCCUACAGCAGAGAGGAUACAGCAACACAAGCCUUUACCUCUAAGAAGGAAGAUGUCGCUUGAUCACUGUGAGAUGCUAUGUGUUCCUUGAGAUUGGUUUGUGGCCUCAGGUCACAGGGCAAAAGGAUGAGAGGAACCUGGAGGUUUAUUAGAGACAGGAGCGUAGGGGACCACAGUGUCCACUGUGAGUAUUAACUGCAGCACGGCUUUCAGGGAGGAAAUGGAUGCCCUCCUUGCCCACAUUCAGAGAGCAGCAUUGCCUUAGGAACUUACUAACUCCUGCCAAUGCCAGCCAAAUGUCUGGUAGCACUGUUGCCGCUGGAAAGGGACCCAGUGAACACUCUCCUUUUCUGAGUAAUUUUAUGACAAAGAUGAACAAUAGGUCAGAUGGAAACCGAGAUGCCGACUGUUAGAAUCUUGGAUGUGCAGUGAAAGUGGGCAUCUUUACUUAUACAAAAUACUUAGACUGAGACUGACCCACCUGGCCUCGGGCAGUGCUGCACUUCUGCAGGCUGCUCUCUGUGGGGCCUGCCCUGGAAAACUAGCACAGAGGAGCACUUCACCCUGCAGAUGGCUGGCUUCCGAGAUGAAGAGGAUGAUAAGAAGAUGCUGAGGUGUGUGUGUCCAGUUCCUCUCCCAGAUUCGUCAACUCAGGUAAUUCACUCUAUUGCUGAAAAGUAAGGGGUAGGCUGAGAAGCCAGAAGUGCUUAGGGAAAAAUUCUUCCUCAUAGAAACCGGAGGAGUGGGAAAAUACGUUUCUUUCUUAUAAUAAGUUUUCUUGGCACAGACACCAGAAUUUUCAUGAGUGACACCAUCAGCAACAAGAAUAUUGUGGCUUUUGCAGGCAGCUUCAGGGGACUAUAGCAUAACAACGGAGAAGAUAAAUGUUUAAAGGAUACUUGCUUUCCUCAUCAUUGUCGGUGUUUUCUAGCCUAAAUGCCAGGAGUGGUUCCGAUUACAUUAGCCCAUGAAAGUGAUGCAUGGGUGGGUUUGGGAGAAAGAGAAUAAAGUUAUGAAGAACAAGAUAAAUUCAUAUACAAUCACGUAUCGUCAAAGAAUGGUAAUAUGUUAGUUAGAGACAUUUUUGGGAAUACUCACAGCUUACAGUUUAUAAUCUAAUGGAAAAGACAAAAGCCAACCAAUGCAAGAGAAAUAGCCAUUUGUAAAUAUAUAGUUUUGUUGUAGUGAGAGUUAAGUCAGUGAUUUUGUUAGUGAGUGGGGUUAAAGGGAAAGUUGACAAAGAAAGUGAACCUUGAUCUGUGAUGAUGAGGAGACGGGGAAUGUGAGAACAGGAGCCUUGAGGUUCUGGUCGUAUGGUGAAAACUCAUCGAAAUGAGCUAAAUAGUCUCUCUGAUGUCAUCCAAGGUUGGAUAUGAAAUAUUAUGAUGUUGCUGCUGCUGCUGCUGCUGCUGUUGAUGGAAGGAAGAUAAAUGUGACAGACGCCCACAAAGUUUUUGGCAAGAAAUAAGAUUCCAUUUGAUAUGAUGCAUUUCAAGGUGACGACCUUUAGCAUCAUGCAGAUGUGGCAUGUUUUGGCUCAUUCCUAAACUAUGGGGUUUGUGAUCUAUACAAAUGUGGAAGGCAUCAGGUUGAAAUGCAAUAUAAUAUCUCUUGGCCAAUGUAAUCGACAAAGUGAAAAUUGCAACAAUUCCUCACAUACACGUUGAAAAGCAGAAACACCACCCCAAAAUAUGAGAAAGUGGUUUCU